GGCGAGAUAGCUCAGUUGGUAGAGCACUGGUCUGAAGAACCAGGUGUCCUCAGUUCGAAUCUGAGUCUCGCCACCA
rnacentral:tRNA from 1 species